rnacentral:rRNA from 2 species
UGGGGAAUUUUGGACAAUGGGGGCAACCCUGAUCCAGCAAUGCCGCGUGUGUGAAGAAGGCCUUCGGGUUGUAAAGCACUUUUGUCCGGGAAGAAAUCGCACCUGAUAAUACCGGGUGUGGAUGACGGUACCGGAAGAAUAAGGACCGGCUAACUACGUGCCAGCAGCCGCGGUAAUACGUAGGGUCCAAGCGUUAAUCGGAAUUACUGGGCGUAAAGCGUGCGCAGGCGGUUGUGCAAGACCGAUGUGAAAUCCCCGGGCUUAACCUGGGAAGUGCAUUGGUGACUGCACGGCUAGAGUGUGUCAGAGGGGGGUAGAAUUCCACGUGUAGCAGUGAAAUGCGUAGAGAUGUGGAGGAAUACCGAUGGCGAAGGCAGCCCCCUGGGAUAACACUGACGCUCAUGCACGAAAGCGUGGGGAGCAAACAGG